GACGAACGCUGGCGGCGUGCUUAACACAUGCAAGUCGAACGGAAAGGCCCCUUUUGGGGUACUCGAGUGGCGAACGGGUGAGUAACACGUGAGUAACCUUCCCUUGACUUCGGGAUAACUUCAGGAAACUGGGGCUAAUACCGGAUAGGAAUCCUUGCUGCAUGGUGGGGGUUGGAAAGCUUCGGCGGUUUUGGGUGGACUGUCGGCGUAUCAGCUUGUUGGUGGGGUAGUGGCUUACCAAGGCCUUGACGGGUAGCCGGCCAGAGAAGGCGACCGGCGACCUUGGGACCGAGAUACGGCCCAGAUCCCUACGGGAGGCAGCAGUGGGGAAUAUUGCAGGAUGGGCGGCAGCCUGAUGCAGAACCGCCGCGGGCGGGAUGACGGUCUUCGGGUUGUAAACCGCUUUCAGCAGGGGCGAAGCUUGUGGUGACGGUACCUGCAGAAGAAGCACCGGCUAACUACGUG
rnacentral:rRNA from 1 species